GCACAACGCGAAGAACCUUACCCACCUUUGACAUGUACGGAAUCCUUUAGAGAUAGAGGAGUGCUCGAAAGAGAACCGUAACACAGGUGCUGCAUGGCUGUCGUCAGCUCGUGUCGUGAGAUGUUGGGUUAAGUCCCGCAACGAGCGCAACCCUUGCCAUUAGUUGCUACAUUUAGUUGAGCACUCUAAUGGGACUGCCGGUGACAAACCGGAGGAAGGUGGGGAUGACGUCAAGUCCUCAUGGCCCUUAUAGGUGGGGCUACACACGUCAUACAAUGGCUGGUACAGAGGGUUGCCAACCCGCGAGGGGGAGCUAAUCCCAUAAAGCCAGUCGUAGUCCGGAUCGCAGUCUGCAACUCGACUGCGUGAAGUCGGAAUCGCUAGUAAUCGCGGAUCAGAAUGUCGCGGUGAAUACGUUCCCGGGUCUU
rnacentral:rRNA from 1 species